GUGCUUGUUUCUGCAGCACAUAUACUAAAAUGGAUGUAAAGAAAUAAUUAGUAUGGUCCCUGCACAAGGGUCACAUGAAAAUUGGUGAAGUGUUCCAUAAUUUU